rnacentral:rRNA from 1 species
AUUGAACGCUGGCGGCAGGCCUAACACAUGCAAGUCGAACGAGUGGCGGACGGGUGAGUAAUGUCUGGGAAACUGCCUGAUGGAGGGGGAUAACUACCGGAAACGGUAGCUAAUACCGCAUACCAUCAGAUGUGCCCAGAUGGGAUUAGCUUGUUGGUGGGGUAACGGCUCACAAAGGCGACGAUCCCUAGCUGGUCUGAGAGGAUGACCAGCCGCCCUAGACCUGCGACCCGGUCCAGACUCGUACGGGAGGCAGCAGUGGGGAAUAUUGCACAAUGUGCGCAAUCCUGAUGCAGCCAUGCCGCGUGUAUGAAGAAGGCCUUCGGAUUGUAAAGUACUUUCAGCGUGGAGGCGUUACCCGCAGAAGAAACACCGGCUAACUCCGUACCAGCAGCCACGAUAAUUC